rnacentral:rRNA from 1 species
AGCAGCCGCGGUAAUUCCAGCUCCAAUAGCGUAUAUUAAAGUUGUUGCAGUUAAAAAGCUCGUAGUUGAAUUUCGGGGUUAGUAGGCUGGUCGUGCCACUGGUACGUACUGGUCUCACUGACUCCUCCUUCCUGAUGAACUGUAAUGCCAUUAAUUUGGUGUUGCAGGGAAACUGGACUGUUACUUUGAAAAAAUUAGAGUGUUUAAAGCAAGCUAACGCUUGAAUACAUUAGCAUGGAAUAAUGAAAUAGGACGUUCGAUCCUAUUUUGUUGGUUUCUAGGAUUGACGUAAUGAUUAAUAGGGAUAGUUGGGGGCAUUAGUAUUCAAUUGUCAGAGGUGAAAUUCUUGGAUUUAUUGAAGACUAACUACUGCGAAAGCAUUUGCCAAGGAUGUUUCAUUAAUCAAGAACGAAAGUUAGGGAUCGAAGACGAUCAGAUACCGU